CUAAGGGAUUCUGAUCGCCAAGCCCCCCGCACGUUGCGGCUGUCGACCGGUUCGUCUACAGCUUAGCCCGGAAAAGCAAAAGCGGACGAGAGAGUAGCAAAAGGGGCGCCUUCUUCCACGUGUGCGGAGAAAGCGGCAAUCGCCGCGUUUGUAACGGGCGCCAGAAAUGAAACUCAGCCUUCCCUGCCCCACUCAUUGGUCCGGGCCACAUUACCGGCUGCUUUCAAAUCUGACGACAGCUACUUCUUCAUUUGUUAAAUGAAACAGGAAGCUUUUCUCUGGGGGCUGCGCGCAGCUCUUUUCACUGGUCCCGUUUUCUCAGCAGAGUAAAGCAGAGUAAAGAUUGCUGUGUUUCCCCGCCGUUUAUUUUUUGGAAGCAAUACAAGCCAGUCCCGAGAACUUUUAUUCACGGGCAGAUUUCACGCGAGAACGAAUGUGCUUUGGGAAAGUGGAAGUUGCUGCUUUACGGAACCGUAGGCAUGAAAUAUAUUUUCUAAAUCGCAUGGAAUGAAACAAUCAGGUUUCAAGAAAGCGGAUGGAUCACAUGGAAAAAUCUUCUAAUUUUAAGUUUCCCUGUCAUGGGAUGUUUCUACCAUAUAAGCUUCCAAGGACAGUGCUUUAAUCUGUCCUCAGUACUACAAAAUAAUGAGCUGAUCCUGCAGAUAUCCUCUGUUCUUCUUAAUUGCAUCCUUCAUUUCAUGUAUUUAUCUAAAGAUUGUGCCAAAUUAUGUACGGAGUGUGGCUGAUUCUUUAAGCCAACCUUUGUUAACAGGACCUACAGGACCCUGGAGUUCCACUUCCACAUGAGAUCACAGAUUACCUUCCUCCUCCCAGAAAGAGGAGUCCCAGAGCCAUAUGGUGUGCCAUAUGGAAUCCAUAGUUCAUUUCUCCACCUGUCUUCUUGUGUAGAAAACGACAGAGCUGAAGAACCUUCAGGUUCCC